rnacentral:rRNA from 2 species
AGAGUUUUGAUCCUGGCUCAGAACGAACGCUGGCGGCAAGCCUAACACAUGCAAGUCGAACGGACAAUUGUUUAUAUCUUUGGUAUAAAUAAUUGUUAGUGGCAGACGGGUGAGUAAUGCGUAGGAAUCUACCUAGUAGUAUGGAAUAGCCAUUAGAAAUGAUGGGUAAUACUGUAUAAUCCCUGCGGGGGAAAGAUUUAUCGCUAUUAGAUGAGCCUACGUUAGAUUAGCUAGUUGGUAAGGUAAUGGCUUACCAAGGCUAUGAUCUAUAGCUGGUCUGAGAGGACGAUCAGCCACACUGGAACUGAGAUACGGUCCAGACUCCUACGGGAGGCAGCAGUGGGGAAUAUUGGACAAUGGGCGAAAGCCUGAUCCAGCUAUGCCGCGUGAGUGAAGAAGGCCUUCGGGUUGUAAAGCUCUUUCAAUAGGGAAGAUAAUGACGGUACCUACAGAAGAAGUCCGGGGCAAACUC